AAAAAAACAAAACCAACAACAAAAAAAUCAGCCAGCAUAUAGAAAUACAUUUAUAUUAUUCUUAGGCAUCUUUCCUGUGGGUUGCAAAAAUUUGGUUUUGUUUUCUCUACGUGCCUCGGCACUUCUCGUUCCAUCUGGAAGUGGAGAUCAAAGCGCUGCAGUCCCACAAGCAAGCGAGCAAGCAUUUGUCUCUUGAGCUGCACAAGGAAGCACUGGAAGGCUGACAAAGGAUCGUGCUGCUGCAGGGCAGGGGCCAGAGCGCCGCAGAGAUGCGUCGCUCCAGAUUGCUUCAAGGGGCACCGGAUCACGUUUUGGAGCACAAUGUUUAGGGGAACUUCAGGAGCUCAGAGAAUGUUGCUGCCAUCAAUAGACUGGGGACCAGGAAGAAACGCAACUGCCAUGAACUUCCUCCUUCUCCCCACUUGAAAAGUCAAGAACUUUCCAUGCCUGCUGUGAUUCUCAGCCUCACCAUGACAAACGGGGAGAGCGACUGAUGAAAUGAUGCAUGUCCUAGCUUACUCUACGGCUGACUGCUCCGCUUCCCUCGCGUUUCCCGCUUGCACCGACUGCUGUAUUGCAGCCAUAUAGAUUAUAUGACAAGUCAAGUUUGGGUUGAGUGGAGUGCUGCCAUCUCUUGGUUAUUUUGGGCAGAUCGACUCACAUAUUUUUUCAUUUUCCUGCCACUCAAGAAUGGUAUGAAGUAACACAGAAAAACAACUAUUCUGGAUGAAAAAGUUUAGGCACUUAGGAAGUGUAAUUGUGGUUUUCAUAGAUCCAAGCAUGUAGAACAGAGUACAUUUGCUGGUGCAUUGGAUCUCUGUGUAACUUCUGUUAAGCGUUUUUAACAAACCUAUAAACCAUGAACAGUUGGAACAGUUUAUAUAUGAUGU
rnacentral:lncRNA from 1 species